rnacentral:rRNA from 1 species
AUGACAGUGUGGAAUGUUCGUGGCCUCAACGCACCCGCAAGACGGAACUCGGUUUACCAGGUGGUGAACACGGCUAGUCCGGCCAUAGUGUGUCUGCAGGAAACCAAACUACAGGAGGUCUCGGAUAUCAUUGUAUGACAAUGCCUUGGAAAUAAUUUCAAAUUUUUUUACUUGCUAGCUAUAGGAACACCUGGGGGGUCUUGA